CCACUUAAUGGGCUGGGGAACACACAGGGGCUGGUUAUUCAAUUAUGCAUGUCAUAAACUGGGCAAGCAGGUGAUUGUAAAAGAAUCCCACACAACUGUACAAAGGGGCUGUACUGUGGCCAAGAUUCACAGCAUUGUUACCUGGUCACAAUCACAUUGCAGAAACUUAUUGUGGGCUGCAAAAGUGCUUUGGCCUUUUCUGAAAUGUAGGUAGAACUUCACUUCCUCUGCAAACCACAGCUUGCUGUUUCCAGACAAUGCUACUCAGGGUGAGAGCAAGUCAAGAUCCUCUGCAAUUCAACAUAAUUGCAUAACCUCAAGAUAUUACUUCAUAAGAAUUUGCCACUUGGGCAGAUCUUUUUAAAGUUAUUAAUUUCAAGCAAGUUUUAUCACCUCACACUUCUGAAUUAAAGUUAUCAGAUUGAGUUUAAUUGCCAAUUCGAACAAUUCAGAGCAUUUUGAAAUUCAACCACCAUUAGAAGCUUCAUUAACAAAUCUAUCAAUAACAUUGCAUGAAAACUGAAAGUCCAGGAAACUGUUCAGUUAUAGUUCAGUUUAGUUAUAAAUCUACAGCAGAGAUACUUUCUCCAGGUAUUGCCCACAAUCUGCUGAAACAGUCAACGCCUCUAGAUUCCGAGAUAUUAUCAGUUUUCCCAUUAUUUUUCUAUUACCGGCAGAUUCUGAUUUUUAAAGUGCCCCUUAACUUUAAGCAAUUACACAGAACCAAGAGCUUAUAAACAGAAGCCACCUUUUAUUUAAAAACACUAAUUUAACCUUGUAAAUGAACACAAACACUAAUACAAUAUUAACUGCCUUAAAUUUCAUUUUCAAUAUUGACCAAAGCUGCUUUUGCAUGUUCAACUGGAGUAAAUCAUUGUAUUAAGAAUUACGCGGCUCAAUACAAAACUUGAUUUAAUCUUGGCAGACGCCAGCAGAAUGCCCAAAACAACCCAGCUCCUGAUCGCAAGACAAGGUAAAAAGUUUCACAUCUUCACAAGUGCUCGUUAAAAUAGAGAAAUAGAUCAAUAAUUAAUUAACCAAGUAAUCUUUAGGGGUCAGUUAUGCUGCAAGUUAUUGCUUAUCUAACAUAGUUGUCACGAGACUUAUUCAGCAGGUUGAUACCAACAGAAGAGCAAGCCAAGUAACAAGUGACAAAUCUUUAUCUCGCACUGGAUACAAAUCACAGUUUAAAUGCAGCCAAUACCGGUCACCAGGCCCGCACCCCACUGGCAAACGGCGCUGCCUCUAGACGUAAACCAGGUUUGGUGAUUGGUCUGCAGUCGCCACCAGCCCAGUGACCCUUCAGGAUAUCUGGGCUCCUCCAUCUCUGACGAUAACCACGUUCCAGCACUCUACCGUUAACGGCCUCGGCUUUGUAAUUCACCAUAUGAAUAACUCUGCCUCUCGUCUUGCCACUGGGUCCAGAUAGACCACUACCAGGGAGUGAGGACCUGCGCAACUCUGCCUCUCUUAAAUCAAACUCACCCGCGAGUCACGACAUCCAAACCAAGGAUGUCAGUGGUCCUCAUCGCUUGUGAUGGAUGCGCACACACGCUCAACUCUGCCUCUCUCUUCUCGUUUAAGACAGGAAAUCAAAUCCAUAGGCUAUAUGGCUUCCUACUUCCAUUUCUAAUGCAUUUGAAAGCUACAUGCGACAAACUUUUGGUCAUGUCUUAAAGCUUUAAGUGGUUUAGGGUUACAUUUCUAAAUCCUCAAAUUAACUGUGGAACUGAAAACUAAAAAUGUGAAUAAUAUUAUUGAAACCCAUGUCUCGCAAAAGAUUGGCCCUGAAGCUUUGGCCGUUUGUCCGGCAGAUAUAACUAUGGCCUCCUCCUGGACUUGAGCUUUUUUCCUUCUGUCCUGUCAUGGGCUUGUAUUUUAAUUCUCCCUCAUCUUCGCCCAAACCAUUGCUGUGCUGUUCUCUCUUCUGCUGGACCCCAAGCAAAAGGGUGUUAAGAUUCCAAAAUAAAGGUGCUUAGUAUCCUUAAAAGAGUGCAGCUUUACAUUUUGGGAACAGUCUGGAAAGGCAUGGAUAACGAUGGCCAAAUAUAGGGCUUUAGUAAUUCAUCUGGUACCAUUCCUGUGAGCUGACCUAGCUCCUGGUUUACAGCUCCACUUUGCUUAAAAUCUUGUUCUGAUACUCUGCACUUAGAAUGAGUCCAUGUCCCCAAAUCAGCUCGGUGAUAUCUAAUAAUUGAUCCCAGUCUGCGACCGGACAUUCUCAUUACAUGUGUAGCCCAGCACCACUAUUGUAACCCUUUCACUGCCUCUGAUUUGUCAUGCAGCUUUUCAGGUAACCAGUAUUAUGAGGAGGAAUUCUUUGUAACCAAAUAUUUGAGAAUACUAUACUGUACAUUUUCUAUUAGGCCAUCACCACAAUUCCUCCCACAGUUAUGGCUCCUAUCAUUCUGGAAGUAAUUAAUGUGUCAUGAUCUGUCUGGAUAGCAUGCUUUCCACUGUAUAUGGGCACAUGUGACAAUUACAAAAAUUACGCCAGACUUUUUCCACAUCAUAUUUGAACAUCCUUUAUCACCAAAGCUCAUUUUUCCACUUGUAGUGUCAGUUGCUUCUGCUCCUGUCUCGUUACCUUUAGACUCAACUUUUCCAAAGCUGUUUGACCACUGCAAGCUGUAACUCAUUCAGUUGCAGUUCACAUGCUAACUACUUCAUCCCAUUAUCCUAGCGGAUGCUAUAUUGAUUGCAGCCUACCAGUAUGUAGGUUUCAAAAUUCUCACCCUUGUUUAAGUUCUCUAAUGCUUUGCUGACUGACUCUGUAACCGAUUCCAGCCAUUGCCAUCCAUCAGUUUUUGCGUCUGUUUUCCCAAUUUUCAGUGCCUUAUAUUGGAUAGAUUCAUAUUCCUAGGACCUGAGCUCUGUUAUUCCUUUCUAAAGCUCUCUGUCCCCAACCCUGUCUAUAUCUAUCUUUCUUACUCUGAUGUUUCUUUAAAUCUACCUCUUUGAACAAUGUUUUAAAAUCACUUGUAAUAGAUUUCUUGCACAAUUAAAAAUAUGUUGCAAGUGGCUUAUUUAAGAACAUUCGUAGAUUAAUGUCUUCAAAAAGAGGUUGUCUUCAUUCAUCUAUUUACUGUGUUUGUAAUAACAGUGAUUAUAUUGUUAGUGAAAUGAGAUAGAUAUUCUCUUUAGUAGUAACUUUGUAUAAAUGAAAUACACCACCGUCUGCUAGUCUGGGGGUCGAUACCAGAUGUCAGAGCCUGAAGGUCAAUUGGAAGUCUGGAAGUCAAUGUCUGAUGGCAUGGAGCGACCACUCCCCGCUGAACAUCAACAGACCCUCGGUAGAGAUCGUUAAGAGCACCAAAUUUCUUGGUGUUCAUCUGGCGGAGAAUUUCACCUGUUCCCUCAACAUCAGCUCCACAGGAAAGAAAGCCCAGCAGUGUCUCUACUUUCUGCGAAGGCUGAGGAAAGUCCAUCUCCCCCCCCCCCCCAUCCUCAUCACAUUCUACAGGGGUUGUAUUGAGAGCAUCCUGAGCAGCUGCAUCACUGCCUGGUUCGGAAAUUGCACCAUCUCGGAUCGCAAGACCCUGCAGUGCAUAGUGAGGUCAGCUGAGAAGAUCAUUGGGGUCUCUCUUCCUGCCAUCACGGACAUUUACACUACAUGCUGCAUCUGCUAAGGAAACAGCAUUAUGAAGGAUCCCACACACCCCUCAUACAAUCUCUUCUCCCUCCUGCCAUCUGGGAAAAGGCACCGAAGCAUUCGGGCCCUCACAACCAGACUGUGUAACAGUUUCUUCCCCCAAGCCAUCAGACUCCUCAAUACCAGAGCCUGGACUGAUACCUUACUGCCCUAUUGUCCUGUUUAUUGUAAUGCCUGCACUGUUUUGCAUACUUUAUUCAGUCCUGGGUAGGACUGUAGUCUAGUGUGGUUGUGUGUUUUUUUUCUCUGUGUUGUUUUUUUACAUAGUUCAGUUUUUACAUAGUUUUUGUACUGUUUCUUGUAACACCAUGGUCCUGAAAAACGUUGUCUCAUUUUUACUAUGUACUGUGCCAGCAGUUAUGGUCGAAAUGACAAUAAAAGUGCUUUGACUUGA